rnacentral:rRNA from 1 species
CAGUAGCCGCGGUAAUACAGAGGGUGCGAGCGUUAAUCGGAUUUACUGGGCGUAAAGCGUGCGUAGGCGGCUUCUUAAGUCGGAUGUGAAAUCCCUGAGCUUAACUUAGGAAUUGCAUUCGAUACUGGGAAGCUAGAGUAUGGGAGAGGAUGGUAGAAUUCCAGGUGUAGCGGUGAAAUGCGUAGAGAUCUGGAGGAAUACCGAUGGCGAAGGCAGCCAUCUGGCCUAAUACUGACGCUGAGGUACGAAAGCAUGGGGAGCAAACAGGAUUGGAUACCCCGGUAGUCCCUGUCUCUUAUAC